rnacentral:tRNA from 1 species
GAGGGUAUAGCUCAGUGGUAGAAUGCAUGCCUGGCAUGCAUGAAGACCUGGGUUCAAUCCCCAGCCCCUCCA